UCAAGUAAUGGACUGUUGGCCUAUUUUUCAAACCGCUUCUCCUCAGUAACUUGACAUUUGAUAGGAUUAUCUAUUACUGUUGGAUUUUGGUUGACUCUCUGGUAUGCCUGAGAAGAUUGUCAUCUUGUGAUUUAAAGAUAAUAGAGCCAAGCAUGUGAAACUGCACACAGAGAAUAAACCUUUGACUCAGAACUGACUAUUUUGUUAAAAAAAAAAAAAAAAAGAGGAUGACUUUGUCUUGAGCUCAGUUUGAUACAUUCGCAGUUAAUGAAAUUAUCCAGCAAUAACUUUCCAUUCUAAAUAUUGCUGUGCUAUUUUUAAAAGGCUCCUAUGACACUCCACACAGAGCAGCCCGGGCUAACAAUACGAGAUAUCUGAAGAGGCUUAAAGAGUUUCUGGAUCAGAACGUGCAGUUUGCAGGUUGCCAGCCUUCCCAGAACGCCAUCUAUUACUCUAUAGGGACUUGAAAAAGGUAGACAGAAACACAAGACCCUACUGCAAGGAAGGAACUAUUUGGCAUGAGGAAGGGUGGCAAAACACAGCCCUGUGUGAAAACACCUCUCCUGGAUGAGCACUUAAAAUUAGAGAUCCAACACGAUGCCUGGGCAGCAUCUAUAUGCUGGAAGAAGAACAAGGAUGCUAUAUGUGCCUCACCCAGUUACUAUAUUGAGUGACUACCACAGUAAUGCAGUCCGUCCACAGCAAGUGUAUUGAUGGAACUUCAUCCAACAGGGUAAGGAAUGAGGUCACUUCCAAAACAGAAUAGGGAAAAAAAAAGAAAGAAAAAUAAAACACACCUCAUUGCCUCAAGACCAAGAGUCUUAAUGUCUUCUCUCCAUUCUUUGUGCUGCCAUUGGGAGGAGAAGUGAGGCUGUGGAAGAUGAGUUGUAUUCCUGCCACAAGUUGGAAGUAGCUCUGUCCAAGAUAACGACACACUGUUGGUAUAAGUUGGGUCAGGAUCAGGUCAGACUCACAGAGCGCCUCCAUUCCUCCUCCCCACAGAUCAGUGUGCAGCUAAUUGUAUUUGGAUGAAUAAUUCUAAUAAAGAUGUGACCUUUAAUGCCAAUUGGUGGUUUUAAUUUUGAUUCAUAAUCAGUCACCUCAGUGUGAUCUCUUCUCAUGUGUGAGCAGCAGUGAGGCCACUGUGCAUAUUUACACACAAAAAACAAAUAUGGGCCCAGGGAGGCAUCCCAUGGGGUGAAUGCAUAUAUUGCAGAUCUUUUAAAGAGAUUUGUACAUUACUGGAUUCUGAAGCAAAUAAAAGUGCACAAAUUCCUAGGAAUCAAAGAUAAGUCAAAGGGAAAAAAAGGCAUUCAGAAGUAGAAAGCAACCCCCAUAGCUCAUGAAUAGCCUAAUUAUAAGAGAGCCCCACAGGCAAAUGCAAAGUUACCAACACAAUCGCCUUUGGAGCUCACAGAGAGGUCAGACA